rnacentral:rRNA from 1 species
UUUGGUGACUAUAGCGUAGGUGUCCACCUCUUCCCAUUCCGAACAGAGAAGUUAAGCCCUACAGCGCAGAUGGUACUGCAGAGUAAAAUCUGGGAGAGUAUGUCGUUGCCAAGU